ACUUGAGUAAUUUAAUUAAAAAAUAUUGAUUUGUGGUGUCAAAAAUAUGAGAUGAAACUCAUCUUAGGUC
rnacentral:tRNA from 1 species